rnacentral:rRNA from 1 species
GUGGCAUGUGGCGAGCCUAAGCCGUUGAGGUGGACGCGUAGCGCCAGCGAGUCUUAAAAGGCGUUCCAGUUGCGUGUCCUGGACACGAAGCUGGAUGAUCUAGCCCUGGGCAGGUUCCAGCGCGGGUAAGACCGCGUGGAGGACCGCACCCACUUAGGUUGAAAACUGAGGGGAUGACCUGGGGUUAGGGGUGAAAGGCCAAUCAAAUUCCGUGAUAGCUGGUUCUCUCCGAAAUGCAUUUAGGUGCAGCGUUGGUNGAUUGCGCGCAGGGGGUAGAGCGACUGGAUGCUUGCGGGCCCGUACCGGGUACCAAUAGCAACCAAACUCCGAAUACCUGUCGUGUGUAUGCCAGCAGUGAGUCGGCGGGGGAUAAGCUCCGUCGUCGAGGGGGAGACAGCCCUGACCGUCGUCUAAGGUCCCCAAGCGCGUGCUAAGUGGGAAAGGAUGUGGAGUCGCAUAGACAGCCAGGAGGUUGGCUCAGAAGCAGCCAUCCUUGAAAGAGUGCGUAACAGCUCACUGGUCUAGUGGUUCCGCGCCGACAAUGUAGCGGGGCUCAAGCACGCCACCGAAGACGCGGCAGCAACCAUAUUGGUUGUUGGGUAGGAGAGCGUCCCAUUCUGGGUUGAAGCCGCGGAGUGAUCCUGUGGUGGACCGUAUGGGAGUGAGAAUGCAGACAUGAGUAGCGAGAGCAAGGUGAGGAUCCUUGCCGCUGGAUGACCAAGGGUUCCAGGGCCACGUUCGUCGUCCCUGGGUGAGUCGGGUCCUAAGGCGAGGCCGACAGGCGUAGUCGAAUGGAUGAACGGGUUGAUAUUCCCGUACCGGCCCUUUGACCGACCAAACGGCCCCCUGGCCGAACACACAUUUCCGUGUUGGUUCCCAUGCCUUUCGGGGUGUGGGGCGAUGCAUGGGUCUGUGUGGGGCGCCUUGGGGCCGAGCGCGUGGAGUGACGCGGACGGGUAGCCGGCCGGGGAGGUGGUUUUCCCUGGUCAAGCGUGUGGCCCCGCCCCCAGGCAAAUCCGGGGGCAUCAUGGGGUGAGGCGUGACGAUGGGGGCCCUUGUGGCCCGAUAUCCGGUGAUCCCGUCGGCCGAGAAAAGCUUCGGCGUGAGGUCUUGGGCCGCUCGUACCCCAAACCGACACAGGUGGUCAGGUAGAGUAUACCAAAGCGAGCGAGCGAAUCCUGGUCAAGGAACUCGGCAAACCGCUCCCGUGCCUUCGGCAUAAGGGAGACCCCCCGCGGUGACGGGCCCUCGCGGCCUCGAGCGGUGGGGGGUGGCACAAGCCAGGGGGUAGCGACUGUUUACCAAAAACACAGGUGCAUGCCAAGACGCAAGUCGCCGUAUAUGCACUGACGCCUGCCCGGUGCCGGAAGGUUAAGAGGAUCCAUCAGCCCCUUGUGGGCGAAGUGGUGAAUUCAAGCCCCGGUAAACGGCGGUGGUAACUAUAACCAUCCUAAGGUAGCGAAAUUCCUUGUCGGGUAAGUUCCGACCUGCACGAAUGGCGUAACGACUUCCCCGCUGUCUCGACCAGGAGCUCGGCGAAAUUGCAGUACGAGUAAAGAUGCUCGUUAAGCGCAGAAGGACGAAAAGACCCCGGGACCUUUACUAUACCUUGGUAUUGGCAUCAGGUGCGGAUUGUGUAGCAUAGGCGGGAGACUGUGAAGCACGCACGCCAGUGUGUGUGGAGUCGACAGGUGAAAUACCGCUCUGUCCCCAUCUGAUGCCUAACCCGGACAAGUGAGCCUUGUCGGGGACAGUGCCUGGCGGGUAGUUUAACUGGGGCGGUUGCCUCCCAAAGAGUAACGGAGGCGCUCAAAGGUCCGCUCGGCCCGGUUGGCAAUCGGGUGUCGAGUGUAAUCGCACAAGCGGGCUUGACUGCGAGAUCGACGGAUCGAGCAGGGACGAAAGUCGGAGAUAGUGAUCCGGUGCCGGCGUACGGACGCGGCAUCGCUCAACGGAUAAAAGGUACCCCGGG